GACGAACGCUGGCGGCGUGCCUAAUACAUGCAAGUUGAGCGCUGAAGGUUGGUACUUGUACCAACUGGAUGAGCAGCGAACGGGUGAGUAACGCGUGGGGAAUCUGCCUUUGAGCGGGGGACAACAUUUGGAAACGAAUGCUAAUACCGCAUAAAAACUUUAAACACAAGUUUUAAGUUUGAAAGAUGCAAUUGCAUCACUCAAAGAUGAUCCCGCGUUGUAUUAGCUAGUUGGUGAGGUAAAGGCUCGCCAAGGCGAUGAUACAUAGCCGACCUGAGAGGGUGAUCGGCCACAUUGGGACUGAGACACGGCCCAAACUCCUACGGGAGGCAGCAGUAGGGAAUCUUCGGCAAUGGACGAAAGUCUGACCGAGCAACGCCGCGUGAGUGAAGAAGGUUGUCGGAUCGUAAAACUCUGUUGGUAGAGAAGAACGUUGGUGAGAGUGGAAAGCUCAUCAAGUGACGGUAACUACCCAGAAAGGGACGGCUAACUACGUG
rnacentral:rRNA from 1 species